AAACUUUCAACAACGGAUCUCUUGGUUCUGGCAUCGAUGAAGAACGCAGCGAAAUGCGAUAAGUAAUGUGAAUUGCAGAAUUCAGUGAAUCAUCGAAUCUUUGAACGCACAUUGCGCCCCUUGGUAUUCCGAGGGGC
rnacentral:rRNA from 1 species